GCUACCUGUCCUCUAGAUGUUGCCAAAACCCGAAGACAGAUAGAGAAGGAUCCUAUAAGGGCAUUGAGGAUGACAACAUGGCAAGUAUUGUCAGAUGUUUGGAGGGAUGGAGGAAUGAAAGCACUAUUCACAGGGGUCCUCGUGUUGCUCGUGCAGGGCCAUCUGUUGGGAUUGUGGUUUCAUUUUAUGAAGUAGUGAAGUAUGUUCUGCAACGACAUUAUGCAACUUCAUGACAAAAGAGGCGGGUUUUAGUGUGCUUUAUCAGUUCUUUUGGGUAUCUGUUAAAUCAAUUUUUGGUGACGGUACAGGAGUCACACUUGACUUUGAAGAAGUAGCGACCGGAUAUCAUGUGAAUAAUAUAGCAAGCAAAGAAGAGAAUACAGUUCUGAUUGUGUUAGGUUCUUUUCUCUAGGCCUGCAAGUGCACGAUGGAAGCAUUUGGUAUCUUUGUCCAAUUUUUUUUUUCUUAG
rnacentral:misc_RNA from 1 species